UUCUGUGUAUUCAAGUACUGAUGUGCACUAAAAUUGGAACAAUAAGAGAGGAGUAGCAUGGCUCCUGUGCAAAGAUGGCACGCAAAUUUGUGAAACGCUAACAUAUUUU